rnacentral:rRNA from 1 species
UACGAAGGGUGCAAGCGUUACUCGGAAUUACUGGGCGUAAAGCGUGCGUAGGCGGUUCGUUAAGUCUGUCGUGAAAGCCCUGGGCUCAACCUGGGAAUUGCGAUGGAUACUGGCGAGCUAGAGUACGGUAGAGGAUGGUGGAAUUCCCGGUGUAGCGGUGAAAUGCGCAGAUAUCGGGAGGAACACCAAUGGCGAAGGCAGCUCGCUGGGACGGUACUGACGCUGAGACGCGAAAGCGUGGGGAGCAAACAGG